rnacentral:rRNA from 1 species
UAGGGAAUAUUGGGCAAUGGACGCAAGUCUGACCCAGCCAUGCCGCGUGCAGGAUGAAAGCCCUAUGGGUUGUAAACUGCUUUUAUACGGGAAAAAACUUUCGGUCGUGAACCGGAACUGAUGGUACCGUAAGAAUAAGGAUCGGCUAACUCCGUGCCAGCAGCCGCGGUAAUACGGAGGAUCCAAGCGUUAUCCGGAUUUAUUGGGUUUAAAGGGUGCGCAGGCGGAUUAGUAAGUCAGUGGUGAAAGCCUACAGCUCAACUGUAGAAUUGCCAUUGAUACUGUUAGUCUUGAGUAUAUUUGGAGUGGGCGGAAUGUGUCAUGUAGCGGUGAAAUGCUUAGAGAUGACACAGAACACCGAUCGCGAAGGCAGCUCACUAAACUAUAACUGACGCUCAUGCACGAAAGCGUGGGGAUCAAACAGG